GACGAACGCUGGCGGCGUGCUUAACACAUGCAAGUCGAACGGAAAGGCCCUGCUUUUGUGGGGUUCUCGAGUGGCGAACGGGUGAGUAACACGUGAGUAACCUGCCCUUGACUUUGGGAUAACUUCAGGAAACUGGGGCUAAUACCGGAUAGGAGCUCCUGCUGCAUGGUGGGGGUUGGAAAGUUUCGGCGGUUGGGGAUGGACUCGCGGCUUAUCAGCUUGUUGGUGGGGUAGUGGCUUACCAAGGCUUUGACGGGUAGCCGGCCUGAGAGGGUGACCGGACACACAGGGACCGAGACACGGCCCAGAAUCCUACUGGAGGCAGCAGGAGGGAAGCCUCGGCAAUGGGGGCAACCCUGACAGAGCAACGCCGCGUGAGGGAAGAAGGUUUCGGGGGCGUAAAGCUCUGGGGGAAGGAAAGAACGGGUGUGAGAGUGGAAAGUUCACACUGAGACGGUGGCUUACCAGACAGGGACGGCUAACUACGUG
rnacentral:rRNA from 1 species